rnacentral:lncRNA from 1 species
GGGUGCCAAGCUCGAGGUAAAUAGCCAAUUAAAUCUCACAGACAGGUGGAAUACCAAAAGGGUCAGUAGGGAACACAUUAGGAAACUCACAAAUAAUAAGAACUGUGUUAAGCGAUAGACUCUCAACACUAGCAUCAUAAACAUAAGCGAAAUAUGACUAGCAACCCCUAGAAAUAACUCUUCAAGCACUAACAUAAGAUAUAAUCCACAUUGGCAC